CCUACGGGAGGCAGCAGUGGGGAAUAUUGCACAAUGGGGGAAACCCUGAUGCAGCGACGCCGCGUGAAGGAUGAAGGAUUUCGGUAUGUAAACUUCUUUCAGCAGGGAAGAAAAUGACGGUACCUGACUAAGAAUACGCGUCGAACGACGAGCCGCCAGCCGCGGUCAUACGUAGGGGGCAAGCGUUAUCCGGAGUGACGGGGUGUAAAGGGGGCGUAGGCGGUUUAUCAAGUCAGAAGUGAAAGCCCGGGGCUCAACUUCGGGACUGCUGUUGAAACUGUUGAACUAGAGUGCAGGAGAGGUAAGUGGAAUUCGUAGUGUAGCGGUGAAAUGCGUAGAUAUUAGGAGGAACACCAGUGGCGAAGGCGGCUUACUGGACUGUAAAUGACGCUGAGGCACGAAAGCGUGGGGAGCAAACAGGAUUAGAUACCCGUGUAGUC
rnacentral:rRNA from 1 species